rnacentral:rRNA from 1 species
UGGGGAAUAUUGCACAAUGGGGGAAACCCUGAUGCAGCAACGCCGCGUGAGUGAAGAAGUAUCUCGGUACGUAAAGCUCUAUCGGCAGGGAAGAAGAAGGACGGUACCUGACUAAGAAGCCCCGGCUAACUACGUGCCAGCAGCCGCGGUAAUACGUAGGGGGCGAGCGUUAUCCGGAUUUACUGGGUGUAAAGGGAGCGCAGACGGCAUGGCAAGUCUGAAGUGAAAGCCCGCGGCUCAACCGCGGAACCGCUUUGGAAACUGCCGGGCUGGAGUGCUGGAGAGGCAAGCGGAAUUCCUAGUGUAGCGGUGAAAUGCGUAGAUAUUAGGAGGAACACCAGUGGCGAAGGCGGCUUGCUGGACAGUGACUGACGUUGAGGCUCGAAAGCGUGGGGAGCAAACAGG